AGCUUAUUCUUUUAUAAUUUGUGCAGAGUUUUGAUCAAAAGAAGAAUGGAAGAUUCAGAUUAGAUGAUUUCAUAUCUCUUUGUAUAUUUUUGCAGUCAGCUCGUAAUAUGUUUGAUUCAUUUGAUACUGCUAAGCAGGGCCGGGUGACUCUUGAUCUCAACCAAUUUGUAUAUUGCAUGCUUUGAGGUUUUGGGCUUGGUCUGGGUGGCUCUGUGAUUUUUGAAUUAGGCUUGGCGGCUUUAACACUUUUGGAAUUUAGCCUUGGAAGCCUUGAGAAUUUUAGUCAUGGCACCUGGUCGUCGCACCACUCGAUCUACUGCUCAAAGUCAACAAGUUGAACCAAUCAUUCAUCCUCCUGCUCCACCUUCACAAGUUGUUCGCACUACUCGGUCGAGAAUAGAGAAUCAACAAGUUGAACCAGUCAUUGAUCCUCCUGCUCCACCUACACAAGUUAUUCGCACUACGGUCGA